AUCUCACUCCAAUCGAUUCAUCAUCAACUGAAAUCGAUUCAACAACUUCAUAUCAGUAAUCGAUUCAACAUCUUCAUGACAGUUGAAAUCGAUUGUACCAACGAUUCAGCAUCUCGAGUCGCCGAGUUCAACAUCUACAGCCAACGAGUUCAAAUCCGAUGACGAUUCAAAAAUGACUCAAACACUCAACUCUACUGCAUCAGUUUAUCAAGUAGAGCCGAGGAAGGUCAACAUAAGCUUCAAAUAUACUCAUAGGCCGAUGGACAAAUCACAACUGGUCGAGAAAGCAAAUCCUGAGGAAAGUUUCUCUACUGGUCGGUCGGAAGCAAAUAUUGCAAGUCAAAUCCCUCCACCAAAAGGUGAAGAAAACAGUGGGGUCCUCUAACUCACAGUUGGGUGAGAAAUCAAAUUUGAGGAGCGAGAUAAAGAGUUUCGGGAGAUGUAGUUGAGUCAUGGUAACAUGCUGAUGAGGACAUUUGUGCAGUCCGUUCCCACGCCUAACAAAUGGGUGGUGCCCAGAAUCACGGCUCAGCCGAUUGAGAUGUGCUUGUGUGUCAAUUUUGGAUGAUUUCUUGUAUUGGACAA